rnacentral:rRNA from 1 species
UACGUAGGUGGCAAGCGUUGCUCCGGAAUUAUUGGGCGUAAAGCGCGCGCAGGCGGUCCUUUAAGUCUGAUGUGAAAGCCCACGGCUCAACCGUGGAGGGUCAUUGGAAACUGGGGGACUUGAGUGCAGAAGAGGAAAGUGGAAUUCCACGUGGUAGCGGUGAAAUGCGUAGAGAUGUGGAGGAACACCAGUGGCGAAGGCGACUUUCUGGUCUGUAACUGACGCUGAGGCGCGAAAGCGUGGGGAGCAAACAGGAUUGAGACUACC